rnacentral:lncRNA from 1 species
UGUCCAGGCUCUUCUGGCUUUCAUAGUCUCUGGUGAAAAAUCUGGCUUAAUUCUGAUAGGCCUGCCUUUAUAUGUUACUUGAACUUUUUCCCUUACUGCUUUUAAUAUUCUAUCUUUAUUUAGUGCAUUUGUUAUUCUGAUUAUUAUGUGUAGGGAGGAAUUUCUUUUCUGGUCCAGUCUAUUUGGAGUUUUGUAGGCUUCUUGUAUGUUCAUGGGUAUCUCUUUCUUUAGGUUUGGGAAGUUGUCUUCUAUAAUUUUGUUGAAGAUAUUUGCUGGCCCUUUAAGUUGAAAAUCUUCAUUCUCAUCUAUUCCUAUUAUCGGUGGGUUUGGUCUUCUCAUUGUGUCCUGGAUUUCCUGGAUGUUUUGAGUUAGGAUCUUUUUGCAUUUUGCAUUGUCUUUGAUUGUUGUGCCGAUGUUCUCUGUGGAAUCUUCUGCACCUGAGAUUCUCUCUUCCAUCUCUUGUAUUCUGUUGCUGAUGCUCGCAUCUAUGGUUCCAGAUUUUUUCCCCUAGGUUUUCUAUCUCCAGCGUUGCCUCACUUUGGGUUUUCUUUAUUGUGUCCACUUCCCUUUUUAGGUCUAGUGUGGUUUUGUUCAUUUCUAUGACCUUUUUGGAUGUGUUUUCCUGUUUUUCUUUAAGGACUUGUAACUCUUUAGCAGUGUUCUCCUGUAUUUCUUUAAGUGAGUUAUUAAAGUCCUUCUUGAUGUCCUCUACCAUGAUUAUGAGAUAUGCCUUUAAAUCCGGGUCUAGCUUUCGAGUGUGUUGGGGCACCCAGGACUGGCUGAGGUGGAAGUGCUGCGUUCUGAUGAUGGUGAGUGGUCUUGAUUUCUGUUAGUAAGAUUCUUGCAUCUGCCUUUUGCCAUCUGGUAAUCUCUGGAGUCAGUUGUUAUAAUUGUUUCUGGUUAGAGCUUGUUCCUUUCGUGAUUCUGUUAGCCUCUACCAGCAGACCUGGGAGACUAGCUCUCUCCUGAGUUUCAGUGGUCAAAGCAGUCUCUGCAGGCAAGCUCUUCUCUUGCAGAGAAGGUGCACAGAUAUCUGUUGAUCGGAUUUGCCUCCUGGCAGAAGAUGGAGGCCCAAAACAGGGCCUGUUCCAGAAGCUGUUAGCUUCUGUAGUCUAUACUCUCACCUGUGCAGACUAGUCUUGGCAGGUUCCGGGAACCAAGAUGUCUCUGGCAAAUGCUGCAGCAACGACCUCCUGGGCUGUGUGGACACCUCUCCUCUGGCAGGGAAGGUGCCCGGAUGUCUGGAGCCCAAAACGGGGCCUACCUUAGAAGCUCUGUGGCUCCUGCUUGACCCAGAAGCUGUUAGCUUCUGUAGACUACACUCUCACCUGUGCAGAGCAGUCUUGGCAGGAUCCGGGAACCAAGAUGUCUCCUUCCUAACUGUAAUUUGUAAACAACAAUUUUGUUCUUUUAGUUAUUAAGUGUAUGUGUGUGUGUAUGUGUGUGUGUGUGUGUGUGUGUGUGUGUGUGUGUGUAUGUACUCUUCCAUUUGUUUUUUGUGAAGCUAUAUGUGCAUGUUUGCAUGUAUGCAUGUAUGGAGAUCAUCAGUCAACUCAGAUGAUGUUCUUUGUUUUUUUUGAGACUAGGCUUCUUCUCAUUUGUCUCUCAUUAUGUCUCAUGCUUAUAUAACAAAUAUCUGUGUGAUGAACGACCUCCACACAUGCAUGUCUAGUUUCAGGUAACCAGAGAUAAUUUCUAUGCACACAUAGCUGCAUACAAAUGGGCAAGUGAACAAUUAAUAAAUUAAAAAAAAAACCCAAAAUUGUCCUUCGCCAAUUGCAAAUAGGCAAACAUAUUCCUUAAAUGAUAGAAAUUAUCAUUUGUCUUUGUGAUUGUCUUAAUUCACAAUUAUCUCCAAUAGUAACUAUUUCCCUGUAAACCACAUGACACUGUUGUUCUUUAUGGCUGUUUUUCUACAGCACAAGUGUAUUGGGUUGAAUGAUCUUUGGAGGUAAAGACAUAUAGGUCACCAUUUUCGUCCCAGAGAUGUGCACAUUUGAGGCAUGAGUUCUUGGUUCUACACUAUAAGGAUGUUAAAAAAGUGAAUUUUUUUCUCACAAGAUAGAAAAACUAUUUGUGAGAGAACUUAGAGUCAAGUCAUAAGAGAGAUGACUGAAGGAACUUGUGCUGUGUGAUUUGGAGAAGGGACAUGCCACAGGACCUUAAACCUUGGAAGGAUUUUAAUUUGCAAGAUGGGUUGGUCCAGAGAGUGAGACAAUGCCCAUGGGACCAUGUCUUCCAGAAGAUAGCCAUCAAUAGGUAACCGAGACUUGUUCCCCCAGCACUGGAGCAACCUCACCCGUUUUUAAAAAGUGCAUUCAGUACUGCCUUACUAUGUAGCAAACAGGUGAAGCCCCUCCUUAGCCAUCAACUGAAAUGCCUGAGUAAAACAUACAGAAAUUUGGCUUUGAAAACUCGCAGAGUCGAUCCAUAAAGGAAUGGCUUGCUGGCUUGCAUUUAAGCUUAAAAGAUUUUCCUAACAAGACAGAUUUGCAGCGAUAUACAUUAUUUACCACAUUAAAAAUUUAAUAUAUCUCUUUCUUUCAAUGCUUCCUUUUCCACCCCUAGCUUUUGUUACUAAAAGAAGGAGAGAUGAUUGAGAGACAGGAAGGUCUGUGUUACCCCUGGACUGGAGAUUACAUAGGUCCUUUUUGAGUCACAGUGGUAGCUAACACCCUGGCUGAGCAUCAAGACAGAAGACACAACAAAAGAAGGUUUAACUCUAAAAGGUUUUUUUUUUUUUUCCGUCUUGUCACUGUGUUCUAUGAAAGGCACAGAAGGGAUGAACAUCAUUUUUGUGGACACAACUGGCGGCUUGAGAAGCUGGGGUGUUAAGAGAUAUCUUGGACAGACUGGAUUGUAGCAGAUCUCAUCCCUUAAUCUGUUUCAACUCAAAAGUGACCUUGGAACACAGAAAGGGCCCCCAGUAAGGAUGAGGCCAAUCAGUCUGUGCCUCAAAGUCAGAUUUCACUUCGCUUAGGUCAAGCAACAGCAUGGCAACAGAAACUUCUUGUGAACACUCAUGUAUGGUGUUACAUUUUUCUACAACACAGUCAACACAUAUAGCUAAUGGUUUGAGGGGAUCCAAGCACUAGAUCUAGACAGGGAAAUUAUAAAGUCCCUCUCAGUUCCCUUGUAUGACACCAGGCAUUAGCAGCUUCUGUUACUAUUAUUUAGGCAGAACAAUUCUAUUUCCUUCCAUUUCAUCCUUUCUUUCCCUCUCCUUCUCCCUCUCCCCCUCUCUCUCAUUUCCCCUUUUACAAGUGCCUUUAAAUCUUACAAUAAUUUAAACGUAUCUCAAAUGUAUGAUUUCCCACUUCUAACUCUGUAGGUUGGGUGUGGUCUCAAUGUCUACAGCUGUGAACUUUGCCAACUCACAGUACCUGAUCAGGGACAGAUGUGCUGUGCAGUUGAUGAAGCCUCACAUUUGGGUCCUUCUCACACUCUUUGAACUUUCUCUUAAGCCCUUGCAGCAAAGUUUCCAGGUGUAGAAUAAAAGAUAUCUAGUUAAAUUCGCACAUCAGAUUUUUAAAAAAGAUUAUGCUUAGAGUAAGUAUUCCCCAAAUUCUGCAUGAGAAAGGCCCUAAAAUUCUUCAUUGUUUAUCUGAACCUUCAAUGUUCCUGGGAGCUCUAUAUGUUAACCUUACUUCAAAACUGCCAUAGCUAUUCAUUUAUUUGUUUUCCUUUCAGGAAGACAGCCUGCCUGGGACAAUCUCUAUACCCCCGCAAAGACUGGCUUCUUUUAGGUGUUUACUGUUUGUUAUCUUGAUUAACAUAAGGCACUUGCAAUUGUUGAAACUCUCUUGGAGCUUGGAGAGAUGGCUCCAGAGGCUAAAAGUAUUUCCAUGCUCUCCUAGAGAAACCGGGUUUGCUUAUAAACAACUCAACUCCAGCUUGAGGGCUUCAGAGGCCUUCUUCUGACCCCCACAGGCAUGGUAGCUACAUGCACUUACCCAUACACAUAAUUAAAAGUAAAGGUAUUUAAAAUUGUUGUCAUUUCUGUACAGAAACAUUGUAUGGGACAAAGAAUGCUGCACUCCAUGGCCUCUGCUCAUGACAGUUAUCUUGUGAUGAGCCAAGUGUUGAAUUGCUUUUUUCCUGGGUUAAAAUUUCCAUUUACCUUAGGACUUCUUUAUUUAUAGUACCUUUGUUAACCUAUGUACUGUUCUGAGCCACCUUCCAUGGUCACUACUUCUCUGAUCAAGAGAAAAAGAAAAUAUAUAUAACACAGAAUCAGAAACUGGUUCUCACUUACGCAAGAAGGUGGAACAACAUUAUGAACUAACCAGUACCCUGGAGCU